GUAAUAUAGCAAUGGUGUAUGUUGUGGUGAGUAUAAGGGUAAUAUAGCAAUGGAGUAUGUUUGUGGUGAGUAUAAGGGUAAUAUAGCAAUGGUGUGUUUGUGCUGAGUAUAAGGGUAAUAUAGCAAUGGUGUAUGUUUUUGGUGAGUAUAAGGGUAAUAUACUAAUGGUGUAUGUUUGUGGUGAGUAUAAGGGUAAUAUAGCAAUGGUGUAUGUUUUUGGUGAGUAUAACGGUAAUAUAGCAAUGGUGUAUGUUUGUGGUGAGUAUAAGGGUAAUAUAGCAAUGGUGAAUGUUUGUGGUGAGUAUAAGGGUAAUAUAGCAAUGGUGUAUGUUUGUGCUAAGUAUGAGGGUAUUAUAGCAAUGGUGAAUGUUUGUGUUGAGUAUAAGGGUAAUAUAGCAAUAUAGUAUCUUUAUGGUGAGUAUAAGGGUAAAAUAGCAAUGGUGUAUGUUUGUGGUGAGUAUAAGGGUAAUAUAGCAAUGGUGUAUAUUUGUGGUGAGUGUAAGGGUAAUAUAGCAAUGGUGUAUGUUUGUAUUAAGUGUGAGGCUAAUAUAGCAAUGGUGUAUGUUUUGGUGAGUAUAAGGGUAAUAAAACAAUAGAUGUUUUUGAUGAGUGUAAGGGUAAUAUAGCAAUGAUGUAUGUUUGUGCUGAGUAUAAGGGUAAUAUAUCAAUGGUGUAUGUUUGUGGUGAGUAUAAGGGUAUUAUAGCAAUUGUGUAUGUGGUGAGUAUAAGGGUAAUAUAGCAAUGAUGUAUGUUUGUGCUGAGUAUAAGGGUAAUAUAGCAAUGGUGUAUGUUUGUGCUGAGUAUAAGGGUAAUAUAGCAAUGGUGUAUAUUUGUGGUGAGUAUAACGGUAAUAUAGCAAUGGUGUAUGUGUGUGGUGAGUAUAAAUGGUAAUAUAGCAAUGGUGUAUGUGUGUGCUGAGUAUAAGGGUAAUAUAGCAAUGGUGAAUGUUUGUGCUGAGUAUAAAGGUAAUAUAGCAAUGGUGUAUGUGGUGAGUAUAAGUGUAAUAUAGCAAUGGUAUGUUUGUGCUGUGUAUAUAAGGGGUAAUAUAGCAAUGGUGUGUG
rnacentral:lncRNA from 1 species